UACGGAGGAUGCAAGCGUUAUCCGGAUUUAUUGGGUUUAAAGGGUGCGUAGGCGGGUUAUCAAGUCAGCGGUGAAAUUUUUCGGCUUAACCGUAAAAUUGCCGUUGAAACUGGUGAUCUUGAGUGCGAGCGAGGUAGGCGGAAUGUGCCGUGUAGCGGUGAAAUGCAUAGAUAUUACACAGAACACCGAUUGCGAAGGCAGCUUACUAAUCCAUCAUUGACGCUGAGGCACGAAAGCGUGGGGAUCAAACAGGAUUAGAUACCCCGGUAGU
rnacentral:rRNA from 1 species